rnacentral:lncRNA from 1 species
AAUACCCAAUUGUGAUAGUCCAUCUAAAUUUUUUGUCUUAUUUGUACUUGUUUUUAUUAUUAUUGAUGAGCUUCAUCUUCAUCGAGUUUUCUUGUAAAGCAACAAGCAUUAAAGCAACUUAUCAUCGAGAUGGAUCUCUUUACAUUAUUCGAUAUUUGUGAUCUUGAUCUUGCAAGCUUGAUUUGAUUAAUGGUUCUUUCUUCUCUAGUAUAGUACUUAUCUUGCUUCUUUCAUGCAAAAAUGGAGUGAAUUUUCUGAAACUUUACUUGUGGUUUGCAAUUUUAUUAAGUAACUUUUUCUUAAUACACACACUCUUAACACACACACACUCUUUAUUAAGUAACUUUUUCUUAAC